GAGAAAUAUGAUCAGAGGCCAGCAUGUGCUGCAUAGCAAGUUCAAGGCCAGCCGGUUCCACUUCAGCUAGCACUCUACCACUAGAGGCACAAUUGCACUUCUGGAUUUGUUGAUAGAACAAGAAAAGUGCCAGAAUGUGUAAACAACAACAACAACAAAACUCCAGCAAUGACAGGAUACAUUAUUUUUUGCAAAAGA